rnacentral:rRNA from 1 species
CCUACGGGAGACAGCAGUGAGGAAUAUUGGUCAAUGGUCGGGAGACUGAACCAGCCAAGCCGCGUGAGGGAUGAAGGUACAGAGUAUCGUAAACCUCUUUUGUCAGGGAACAAAGGCGGGGACGCGUCCCCGUUUGAGUGUACCUGAAGAAAAAGCAUCGGCUAACUCCGUGCCAGCAGCCGCGGUAAUACGGAGGAUGCGAGCGUUAUCCGGAUUUAUUGGGUUUAAAGGGUGCGCAGGCGGUCUUUUAAGUCAGCGGUCAAAGGCUGGGGCUCAACCCUCGACCCGCCGUUGAAACUGGCAGUCUCGAGUUGGAGAGAGGUAUGCGGAAUGCGCGGUGUAGCGGUGAAAUGCAUAGAUAUCGCGCAGAACUCCGAUUGCGAAGGCAGCAUGCCGGCUCCACACUGACGCUGAGGCACGAAAGCGUGGGUAUCGAACAGGAUUAGAUACCCUUGUAGUC